UGAGGAAUAUUGGUCAAUGGGCGGGAGCCUGAACCAGCCAAGCCGCGUGAGGGAGGAAGGCCCUAUGGGUCGUAAACCUCUUUUGUCAGGGAACAAAAGCGAGUAUGUAUACUAGUCUGAGUGUACCUGAAGAAAAAGCAUCGGCUAACUCCGUGCCAGCAGCCGCGGUAAUACGGAGGAUGCGAGCGUUAUCCGGAUUUAUUGGGUUUAAAGGGUGCGUAGGCGGCGGUGCAAGUCAGCGGUAAAAGCCCGGGGGCUCAACCCCGGCGAGCCGUUGAAACUGCAGUGCUAGAGAAGGCGAGAGGUACGCGGAAUGCGCAGUGUAGCGGUGAAAUGCUUAGAUAUUGCGCAGAACUCCGAUUGCGAAGGCAGCGUACUGGCGCCUGACUGACGCUGAGGCACGAAAGCGGGGGGAAUCGAACAGGAUUAGAUACC
rnacentral:rRNA from 1 species